rnacentral:lncRNA from 1 species
AAUAUGCACGUGGAGAAAGUAGUAUAAAAAUAUACUUUUAGCCACUGUCAGUGUUCAUAACUCACUCUCUACAAACAGACUCUUCACUAAAGCCCCACCCUGCCUCCUGAGCUCCCCAAGUUUUGCUAGGUUUUAUCACCCGACCCACCCCCGACCCCCCCAUAGUUUUUCAGAAUGCAGGUGAGAACAGCCCAGUGCUAUUAUCAGCAGGGCACUGAGUUCACUAAGAGAGGACUGAGAAAGACUGAAAGACAAAUGGCUAGUUGUGGUUUUCAGGUGAGCUUGCUCUGUUAAUCUGGGCUGAAAUGGACAGGAACAGGUGGUGUGGCGGAGGAGAGGAUGGGUAGGGGUUGCUCUGGCCAAGAGCAGGUUGCCAGCUGGGCCAGUGAUCUAGUUCUGUUGUCAGUGUACCCACAGCAGUGGAAAAGGGACCUUUUCACAUAAAAGGCAAUCUUGACAAACUUUCUGAAAACGUUAAUGAGGUAUAAAUGAAUAAUCUUAGUAAGUUGAAGUGCUGAAUUUGCUAAGCGAACUGAGCUGAGGUUCAAAGAUUUGAAGCGCUACUGUAUUUUCUAUAUUCCAAUAUACAGCAGUGUGGUGGGGCGGAUGGGUGCGAACGCCGCUGGAGUCAUUUUGUCUUGGUGCUGUAGCAGAUGUGCUAUACUGGGACCUCUGGACAGAGAAAGCACAGUUAGGGAUGGAAUUUGGUAAUAAAACUCAUUCUAGCUAAAAGUGGGUUUUUCUUUUUAAAGUUUGAAUCUACAUACAAAUGUAACAAAUUAGUGUAUGUGUAUAGAUUUGAAGAAUUUGCAAUAUGGAGAAAAGGUGAUGGGAGUUUGUUAGAGAUUAAAAAGUGCUGAGGAAAAAAAUAUGAUCAGAAAAAAAAAAUGUGGGCUCUUGUAUUGCUGUGUCCUUGCUCCACCUGGUGGAUUUUGCUGAAAGUGUUUAAGUCUGUGUUAAUGAAAAGAAUUAACCACUACACAGUUCCUCUGAGCAUAGCAAGAGUCUUGUUGGUGUUUAAAAUAUUCCUAUGUUUAUGGUUUUUGUUCUGUAAUUUCAUUGCAUUGAAAGAAAUGUAUAUUAUAUAGAAUCCAUGUGGUUCAAACAUAUGUAUGUUCGUUUUCGGAAAUUUGGAAUAUUCCGAAAGUAACCCUCACAUGAAAUCCCCCUGCAUAGGGCCAUCAUUACCAGUUCCACACUUAGUAUUACUUAUUCUGGAGCCCCAGCUGGUUCCGAUCUUGCUCUGUAAAUUAGCCUGGAUUUGAACUUGUUCCACUCCUCUAAGCCUCUACUAUUGGAUUGGUUUUAAGGAUAGAUGUUAUCAGAAGAGAACCAGCUUGCAUUUUCGCUGAUUUAAAAAUACGUUGAAUGUUUACUACUAAGUCAAAGAAUGAUGACAGGCAUCGGGCUGAUUAUAAUCAUUUUUGCAGAACUGCUUCUCAGGCUCAAAGGUGGUGGUGUGUCAGUGUUUAGCAGAAAGGUUUUUUUCUCAUUGAGCUUCAUGUCCAAGACACAAAGGUAGAGACUAACGGUGCCUUAUGCAUUCAUGGGGUUGGUAAUAUCUGUUGUUUGCUGGCCUUGUACAGACUGCUUUCUCUGGCAAUCUUAAGAAUUCAGUUGUGCUUUGAUCAGCUUACUGCUUUCCUUAGGUUAUUAUUAUUUUUUUAAUCCCUUAGAUUCUUACAUCGCUGUAACAGAAGGUGAAGUUUUGAAAACAGUGUCUCCAUAUGCAAGGGAUUUGGAGACCUUUUUAUUGUCUUUAACACUGUCAUUCAUGGUCCUCAUUAGCAUUUAUUGUUGCAAGCCUACAAGCAGAAAAUGUGAAAUUGGUAUGUCAUGAAUAGCCCCACAGAGCUCUGGAGCCCUCUGAUUUUGCCUGCAGUGUGGUGUGGGCUGGGCUUUGAGGGAAAGCUGUCCAGAUGGCUGCCUGCACACAGCAGAGCUGCAGGUUUUUGUCUCUGGUGCUGAGAGGAGGGGAAGUUCACUGGAGCAUACGCCAUCACCCUUGCAUUUUAACAAAACUAACUAGCCAUUAGUCAAGAUGGGAGGGUGAUGACAUCGAGACAAAGGUUUUCCAUAUAGUGUUACAAGCUGUGUCACAGGAUAGGGCUGAGCUGCUAGGUACCUUCUCUUUUAACCCAGUGGGUUUUGUGGUUGGAAAACGAGAUGGAAAUGGUAACUUCUUUGCAAAUUGGUGUGCAGGUGGGUCUUUUACAGAUCUCUUUUUUAAAUUUGUUUAAAUUGGAAGAUGAUAUUUUAUGCUAAAAGAGUCUAUAAAGCUAGGAUUCCUCACUAGGGCUAAGAACCUAAGUGUUGUUUUAUUUAAAAGCUGAAAAGAAAGAAUUUAGACCAUUUUUCCUGCAGAGAAAUCUACUUUUAAGAACAUUAGUACAUUUAAGUCUCAUUUACAUAAAAUAAUGUUCAACCAAUGUGUGUUAAAAACAGUUUUCAGAUUUUAGAAUUUCUUAAAUGUUAGGUCUGAGAGUCAAAAGUUGUCAAUUAUAAAAGAUAUACAAUAAUAAAUAUACUGUGCUAGUAUAAGAUCAUGGCCACUAUUAUAAACAAAUAAUAAUUACAGAUACAGGUUCUAUUUUCUGUUAGCAAGUGAUAUUUUUGAGAUUUCAUUUUGCACAAAUACUAGUAAACCUACACAGUGUGCACAUAAUAACAGACAUAUUUGCUUUCAUAUGCGGAGUGUGUAUAUAUUUGAGGUUUUCUUCUUUUUUUCUCUUUCUCUUUCCUUCUGUUUCUCUCUCUGUGUCUCCCUCUCUGUCUCUGUUUCUGUCUCUCUCUUUUUGUCUCCCAUUCAUAAAGUCUUACUGUGCAGUUCUGACUGGCCUGAAACUUGCUAUGUAGACCAGGCUGGUUUCAAAAAUUCAGAGAUUCACAUGACUCUGUCUCCUGAGUAUUGGUAUUAAACAUAGGCAUCACCCUACCCACUGGAUAACAUAUGUUGACCAGAAUUCAAAAUAAAAUACAUUGCUACAUUGCUUCAAAAACUGCCAAAAUGAUUGUCAGUGCAUAUGUAUGUAUGUAUGUAUGUAUGUAUAUAUAUGGAGGAAAAUGCCACAGAGAUUGGCUUAUUAAGAAGACAUUAUUUUUUUGAGGCUGGAAGUUUCACACUAGUUUUAGAGCUCAGUAUUAACCCACAUAAGCUAACAG